rnacentral:rRNA from 1 species
AUGGCCACAAGUUUUUUCCAGGAGCUCUUCACCAAAGAUAAUCAGAUCGAACCUAAGAUUAUUCUUGACCAUGUCCAAGGCCGGGUUAAUGCCGCUAUGAAUGAUACGUUAUGUAAAGAAUUCACCAAUGAUGAGAUUGCAAAUGCUUUAUUCCAAAUCGGGCCACUAAAAGCUCCUGGGGCAGACGGCUUCCCGGCUCGUUUUUUUCAGAGACACUGGGCUACGUUAAAAGAUGAUAUUAUUCAGGCUAUAAAGGAAUUUUUUUCGGAUGGAGUUAUGCCUGAUGGGGUGAAUGAUACAGUUAUUGUCCUUAUUCCAAAGAAGAAAGAUCCAGUUAAGUUGAAGGAUUUCAGACCAAUAAGUUUAUGCAAUGUUGUUUAUAAAAUCAUAGCUAAGUGUCUGGUAAAUCGCCUUAAACCUUUGCUCGAGGAUAUUAUAGCCCCCACCCAAAGUGCCUUCAUUCCUGGGAGGAUGAUUACGGAUAACGCCUUAAUAGCCUUUGAGUGUAUAAAUACCAUGCAAAAGUCAUGUGAUGCCAAAGGAUCUUUUUGCGCUUACAAAUUAGAUCUGACAAAAGCGUAUGAUCGUGUGGACUGGGACUACCUUGAGGGGGUUUUGAGGAAAUUUGGCUUUGCAGACCAAUGGAUUAGAUGGACGAUGAGUUGUGUGACGUCAGUCAGGUAUGCCGUGAGAAUGAACGGGACUAUCCUCCAGUCCUUUUCGCCUUCUCGGGGCCUGCAUCAAGGUGACCCGUAUUCUCCUUACCUAUUCCUGCUCGUCGCCGAUGGUCUCUCUACUCUGCUAUAA